rnacentral:rRNA from 1 species
UGGGGAAUUUUGGACAAUGGGGGAAACCCUGAUCCAGCCAUCCCGCGUGUGCGAUGAAGGCCUUCGGGUUGUAAAGCACUUUUGGCAGGAAAGAAACGUCAUGGGUUAAUACCCCGUGAAACUGACGGUACCUGCAGAAUAAGCACCGGCUAACUACGUGCCAGCAGCCGCGGUAAUACGUAGGGUGCAAGCGUUAAUCGGAAUUACUGGGCGUAAAGCGUGCGCAGGCGGUUCGGAAAGAAAGAUGUGAAAUCCCAGAGCUCAACUUUGGAACUGCAUUUUUAACUACCGGGCUAGAGUGUGUCAGAGGGAGGUGGAAUUCCGGGUGUAGCAGUGAAAUGCGUAGAUAUGCGGAGAAACACAGAUGGCGAAGGCAGCCUCCUGGGAUAACACUGACGCUCAUGCACGAAGGCGUGGGGAGCAAACAGG